rnacentral:rRNA from 1 species
ACAGCAGUCGCCACGGUAAUACAGAGGGUGCAAGCGUUAAUCGGAAUUACUGGGCGUAAAGCGCGCGUAGGUGGUUUGCCAAGUUGGAUGUGAAAUCCCCGGGCUCAACCUGGGAACUGCAUCCAAAACUGGCGAGCUAGAGUAUGGUAGAGGGUGGUGGAAUUUCCUGUGUAGCGGUGAAAUGCGUAGAUAUAGGAAGGAACAUCAGUGGCGAAGGCGACCACCUGGACUGAUACUGACACUGAGGUGCGAAAGCGUGGGGAGCAAACAGGAUUAGAUACCCCGGUAGUCCCUGUCUCUUAUAC